rnacentral:rRNA from 1 species
GUCUAUAGCCAUACCACCCUGAACCUGCCAGAUCUCAUCUUUUCUCAGAAGCUAAGCAGGUCAGGCCUGGUUAGUACUUGGAUGGGAGAACACCUAGGAAUGCCAGGUGCUGUAGGCA